AACGAACGCUGGCGGCGCGUUUUAAGCAUGCAAGUCGAACGAGAAGAUGGUGCUUGCACUAUCGGACAGUGGCGAACGGGUGAGUAACACGUAGAUGAUCUGCCUAUUGGUUGGGGAUAGCAUAGGGAAACCUAUAGUAAUACCGAAUAAGCUCUUACGGCUUUGGCUGUUUGAGGAAAGGGGCUUCGGCCUCGCCGAUAGAUGAGUUUGCGUCUGAUUAGCUUGUUGGUGGGGUAAAGGCCUACCAAGGCGACGAUCAGUAGCCGGCCUGAGAGGGUGACCGGCCACAUUGGGACUGAGAUACGGCCCAAACUCCUACGGGAGGCAGCAGCUAAGAAUCUUCCGCAAUGGGCGAAAGCCUGACGGAGCGACGCCGCGUGGACGAAGAAGGCCGAGAGGUUGUCAAGUCCUUUUAUGAGAGAAGAAUA
rnacentral:rRNA from 1 species